rfam:Stegodyphus mimosarum contig69976, whole genome shotgun sequence.
GCCUUCUUGGUGUAGUGGUCAGCACGCUCGACGCGUAUUCGAGAGAUCUGUGGUUCGAGUCCUGGAGAAGGUA